AAGACUUUACUUUCAGGGAUCAUUUGUAUAGAAGUUCUAGAAGAAACUAGAGAAGUUUCUCUGCACAGGUAGAGCACCGGAAACCACCAGGAGGAGGCACGUUCUCUCCUGAACUUGUGAAGCUGGUCUUGGUGUUACUUUGCAAUUGCCAUUUUGCAUUGAUGGGCGUUCAUUUCCCUCCAGCAAAGUAAGACAGAGAAGAUGCAGCCUGAGUGGU
rnacentral:snoRNA from 1 species